rnacentral:rRNA from 1 species
GCANGGGAUGUACGUGNUACGGGGUGUUAGGGCACGACACCGGAGAGGGAGCCUGAGAAACGGCUACCACAUCCAAGGAAGGCAGCAGGCGCGCAAAUUACCCAAUCCCGACACGGGGAGGUAGUGACAAUAAAUAACAAUACAGGGUUCUUUUGGAUCUUGUAAUUGGAAUGAGUACAAUUUAAAUCUCUUAACGAGGAACAAUUGGAGGGCAAGUCUGGUGCCAGCAGCCGCGGUAAUUCCAGCUCCAAUAGCGUAUAUUAAAGUUGUUGCAGUUAAAAAGCUCGUAGUUGAAUUUCGGGAUCAAUAUUUCGGUCAUGCCGUUGGUAUGCACUGUUAUCAUUGAUUUCUCACCUUCUAAAGAACCGUAAUGCCAUUAAUUUGGUGUUACGGGGAAUUAGGACUGUUACCUUGAAAAAAUUAGAGUGUUUAAAGCAGGCUCACGCUUGAAUACAUUAGCAUGGAAUAAUGAAAUAGGACAUCCGAUUCUAUUUUGUUGGUUUCUAGGAUCGAUGUAAUGAUUAAUAGGGAUAGUUGGGGGCAUUAGUAUUCAAUUGUCAGAGGUGAAAUUCUUGGAUUUAUUGAAGACUAACUACUGCGAAAGCAUUUGCCAAGGAUGUUUUCAUUAAUCAAGAACGAAAGUUAGGGGAUCGAAGACGAUCAGAUACCGUCGUAGUCUUAACCAUAAACUAUGCCGACUAGGGAUCGGAUGAUGUUAAUUUUUUAAUGACUCAUUCGGCGCCUUACGGGAAACCAAUUUUUUNGGGGUUCACA